rnacentral:rRNA from 1 species
GAUUAACGCUGGCGGCGUGCAUAACACAUGCAAGUCGAACGAUUUUGCGUACUGGUGAGUAACGCGUGAGUAACCUGCCUUAGAGAAGGGGAUCGCCUUUGGAAACGAAGAUUAAUACCCUAUACUCUAAGAUGUACUUGCGUCUGAUUAGUUAGUUGGUGAGGUAACGGCCUACCCAGACAGCGAUCAGUAGCCGGCUUUAGAGAGUGUACGGCCACAUUGGGACUGAGACACGGCCCAGACUCUACGGGAGGCAGCAGUGGGGAAUUUUGCACAAUGGGGGAAACCCUGAUGCAGCGACGCCGCGUGAUUUAGAAGGCCUUCGGGUUGUAAAAAUCUUUUCUAUGGGAAGCAGUACCAUAGGAAUAAGGACCGGCUAACUACGUGCCAGCAGCCGCGGUAAUAA